GCCGAGAAGUUCAUCGAGAUGUUUUACAAGGAGUUGAGGUUGCAGAAGCGGAUGGCUGGUCACGACCAAGCAGCAGUUUAGUAUGGAUGACAUGGCACGUGUGGGGCCACUUGUCAGAGAUGUCUAGUUUUGGGCUUAUUUCAGGUGUUAGGGUGAUCAAUGCCAUGAAUUAUCCGUUGAUUACAAAGAGAAGUUAUGAAAGAUGCAGCCAAAUUUGCUGAUUGUAUAUGUGGGAUGAGCUUUUGUCCCUCUUUUUCUUCUUGCUUGUUUGUGCUUUGCAUAAUGUGUAGCCUUUCUUCAUGUGUAUAUUCAUCCUCCAAGCAGCUUUCUUAACUUGUUUCAUUGUAAAUCUUUAAUAACCUUCGGUAUUAAUGUCAUCUUUCUAAUUAUAUAGAUCUAUCCCUCAUCAUAAUCAUCAUACUUAUACAAACAUUCUUUGAAUCUUCAAACGUGUUUAUUAAAAGAUUGAAUGCUAACCAAGUUUUCAGUACAUCAUACUGAAAACUUGGUUAGCAUAAUGUGUAGCCUUUCUUCAUGUGUAUAUUCAUCCUCCAAGCAGCUUUCUUAACUUGUUUCAUUGUAAAUCUUUAAUAACCUUCGGUAUUAAUGUCAUCUUUCUAAUUAUAUAGAUCUAUCCCUCAUCAUAAUCAUCAUACUUAUACAAACAUUCUUUGAAUCUUCAAACGUGUUUAUUAAAAGAUUGAAUGCUAACCAAGUUUUCAGUACAUCUCUUGUUGUGUAUCACUUUCCAUAUAUACAUGAUGCCUACAUGAGUUUCCAGGAAUAGAUCUAGUGUUUGUCUUGCUUUUAGGUAAGUUUCUAAGCACAUCCCUUUUCUUAUCAAAAUUCA
rnacentral:lncRNA from 1 species